rnacentral:rRNA from 1 species
UACGUAGGGACCAAGCGUUGUUCGGAUUUACUGGGCGUAAAGCGCGCGUAGGCGGCUUUGCAAGUCGGGUGUGAAAUCCCCAGGCUUAACCUGGGAACUGCAUUCGAGACUGCAUUGCUAGAGUAUGGGAGAGGGAAGUGGAAUUUCCGGUGUAGCGGUGAAAUGCGUAGAUAUCGGAAGGAACAUCAGUGGCGAAAGCGACUUCCUGGACCAAUACUGACGCUCAUGUGCGAAAAGCGUGGGGAGCAAACAGG